AUUGCCUCAGUAACGGCGAGUGAAGCGGCAAGAGCUCAAAUUUGAAAGCUGGCUCCUUCGGGGUCCGCAUUGUAAUUUGCAGAGGAUGCUUCGGGAGCGGCCCCCAUCUAAGUGCCCUGGAACGGGCCGUCAUAGAGGGUGAGAAUCCCGUAUGGGAUGGGGUGCCCGCGACCAUGUGAAGCUCCUUCGACGAGUCGAGUUGUUUGGGAAUGCAGCUCUAAAUGGGUGGUAAAUUUCAUCUAAAGCUAAAUAUUGGCCGGAGACCGAUAGCGCACAAGUAGAGUGAUCGAAAGAUGAAAAGCACUUUGAAAAGAGAGUUAAAAAGCACGUGAAAUUGUUGAAAGGGAAGCGCUUGCGACCAGACUCGCCCGCGGGGUUCAGCCGGUAUUCGUACCGGUGUACUUCCCCGUGGGCGGGCCAGCGUCGGUUUGGGCGGCCGGUCAAAGGCCCUCGGAAUGUAACGCCUCUCGGGGCGUCUUAUAGCCGAGGGUGCCAUGCGGCCAGCCCGGACCGAGGAACGCGCUUCGGCUCGGACGCUGGCAUAAUGGUCGUAAGCGACCCGUCUUGAAACACGGACCAAGGAGUCUAACAUCUACGCGAGUGUUCGGGUGUCAAACCCGUGCGCGCAGUGAAAGCGAACGGAGGUGGGAACCCUUUGGGUGCACCAUCGACCGAUCCGGAUGUCUUCGGAUGGAUUUGAGUAAGAGCGUAGCUGUUGGGACCCGAAAGAUGGUGAACUAUGCCUGAAUAGGGCGAAGCCAGAGGAAACUCUGGUGGAGGCUCGCAGCGGUUCUGACGUGCAAAUCGAUCGUCAAAUUUGGGUAUAGGGGCGAAAGACUAAUCGAACCAUCUAGUAGCUGGUUCCUGCCGAA
rnacentral:rRNA from 1 species